AUGACUCAUCUGUGGGAUGACUAUCCCUUGGAUCCCUGGUAUGAGGACACCAAGUGGUGUUGGUGUCUCCUUUCUACGAAAUUAUAUGAAAGAGAACUUCUUCUUUGCUCCUCUGAUUGGCUUAUGAAGUCACCUUUCAACCCAUUUGGGGUUUGUCUUCAUAUAUGGGUUACACCAUGAAUUUCAGAGGAAAGAGAGGAGGAAGGAGGCCACCAAUGGAUGAGGAAGGGGACCAGAACCCAGUUCAAGGACACAUGGAUGCCAGGACCCCAGUUCAGACAGAUGUAAGAUAUGGACAGGUAAGAGGAAUAGAAUAAAGGUCUCCUCUCUCUAAGUUGGAACUCUGCU
rnacentral:lncRNA from 1 species